rfam:Sarcophilus harrisii ctg7180001610420, whole genome shotgun sequence.
AGACUGGGAAAUCUCUGCAGGCAAAUGUGGUGUUGCUAUAGUUAUCACACAAUUACCUGUAGAGAUUCUGCAAUCU